rnacentral:tRNA from 1 species
GGGGCUGAAAGGCUUCAUCCGGGUGAAAAGGCCGAUGUGCACAACCCGGAACCGGGGUUCGAUUCCCCGCAGCUCCACCA